GACGAACGCUGGCGACGUGGAUUAGGCAUGCAAGUCAAACGGCCCUUCGGGGCAGUGGCAAACGGGGUAGUAACAGGUAGGAACGCACCCAGAAGUCAGGAAUAGCCCAUCGAAAGAUGGAUUAAUACCUGAUAGUCCCUUCGGGGUAAAGAUUUAUCGCUUCUGGAGCGGCCUGCUUCGUAUCAGCUUGUUGGUGAGGUAAAAGCUCACCAAGGCUAUGACGCGUAGGGGGGCUGAGAGGCUGAUCCCCACCAUUGGUAUUGAGAUACUGACCAAACACCUACGGGUGGCUGCAGUCGAGAAGCUUCCGCAAUGGACGAAAGUCUGACGGAGCGACGUCGCGUGAUCGAUGAAGUCUUUAGGGAUGUAAAGAUCUUUUAUAGGUGAAGAAGUUUAUUGACAUUAACCUAUGAAUAAGGGGUUGCUAAAUCUG
rnacentral:rRNA from 1 species